GUGAAUCAUCAAAUUUUUGAACGCAUAUUGCACUCUCUUCGGAGAGUAUGCCUGUUUGAGGGUCAGCCUAAAAAAAAAAUCGACAUAGUCGCUUUUUCCCGGUAACUUUUGUCGGAAUUUGGGCCUUUUUAACCUUUUGGGUUUUAAGCGGUUUAAAUUUUUUUUUAUGUUUCCACGAAUGUUUCUAAGAUUUAUUCCUUCCCUGUUUAAGGUAUCCGACCUUUUUU
rnacentral:misc_RNA from 1 species